rnacentral:rRNA from 1 species
ACCUACGGGAGGCAGCAGUAGGGAAUCUUCCACAAUGGACGAAAGUCUGAUGGAGCAACGCCGCGUGAGUGAAGAAGGGUUUCGGCUCGUAAAGCUCUGUUAGUAGUGAAGAAAGAUAGAGGGAGUAACUGGCCUUUAUUUGACGGUAAUUACUUAGAAAGUCACGGCUAACUACGUGCCAGCAGCCGCGGUAAUACGUAUGUGGCAAGCGUUGUCCGGGUUUUUUUGGCGUAAAGCGAGUGCAGGCGGGU